GUCCACGCUGUAACGAUGAGCACUAGGUGUCGUGGGUAUUGACCCCGCGGUGCCGUAGCUAACGCAUUAAGUGCUCCGCCUGGGGACUACGGCCGCAAGGUUAAACUCAAAGGAAUUGACGGGGCCCGCACAAGCGGUGGAGCAUGUGGUUCAAUUCGACGCAACGCGAAGAACCUUACCUGGGGCUAGACAACGGAGGACAGCUCCAGAGAUGGGGUCUUCCUUUCGGGGACCUCCGGUUCAGGUGCUGCAUGGCUGUCGU
rnacentral:rRNA from 1 species